CCUGCUCGCCUAGCGGCUACUGUUCCCCCAGCAUCGCCUCACCCCGGCGCCGCGGAGCUCUGCCAGGCGCCUGCGCCCGUCACGCAGACAAGAUGGCGCCUGCGUUCUGCCGGCGGCCGCCUCGGGCAGUCAUAGUCUUGGUCUCUUCUGCCACUCAGUGGCUGCUGCGGAGAAUUGCCCGAGAACCACAUGGCAGACCUGCGGGAAUGCAGGAGCUAAUUAGCACCUCAGGUUAUAUGUCACACAAGGAUCCUGUGCCUGCUGUUAGACAGAAUUUCUGGGAAUUCCUGUGUGGAGGAGGAAGAUGCAGGUAUGCAGUGUGAAGAAUCAAAGGUGCAGCUUGAUGCCCCCAGUAACACCUAUCACAGGAUGCAGGGCAGCUGGAGCUGCUGGUCUUUUCCACCAGGACAAUGUACAGGACACCAUGUGCUGGUUUCUCACGGAGAUGAGGAGAAGAGAUCACUGCUGGGGCAGUGAGAGUGCGAAGGAUCUCUGAGUCAGGGCUGCUGCUGGGCAGUGACAUCCUCCCCUAGGGAGUGUGGAGAGUGAGUGAAUUAUUCCCUGGCUUCUUUUGGAAGAAUUAUAAAAAGGUCUAAAAAGAGAUCCUGAAGCUGCAGUCUUUUAGUUGCCUCAGAGCUGAAGGUUUCUAUUUUAGGGAGUGAUGAAUGAGCUAAUCUUUUGGAAGUGGUUUUAUUCUUCAGAGGUGUCUUUUGCAAUAAAGAGAAGACCUUCAUUUUCACAGAUGCUUCAACCAUGUCUGGUGGUGCCCUUUUAGUUCCUCAGAGUGAUCCUUUCUAUUGAAAUUAAGGCAUGAGCUCUCAUUUGAUUGCUACAGAUGCUGACAGGUCUGACUUUGUUUUCCUAGCAUGAGCAGAGCAUCCCCUGUAAGACCUCU